CUCUCUCUCUCUCUCUCUCUCAGCAGAGAGAAACAUACAGGAUUAUGUAGGUGUCGUAACAGUUUGAUUGAUGUGGAGAGAGGGAGGAGAUGAUAGGGUUGAAGAAGCUUAAAGCUGCUUUUACCUUUUGAAAGAGUGAGUGAUCGGAUUGGUUUUGUGUUUUUUCGUGCGGAAUUCGAUACAAGAAUUGUUGGAUUUGAGGCGGCGCGAUUCGAGGUAGUUUUGGAUUAUGAAUUUUUCGUUUUUGCACCUUGGAUCUUUUCUUUCUUUGUUUUGGGUAUAAUUCUAUAAUUGCAUGUUAUUAUUUAGUGUAUAACUUGCUAGAUUUGAUGCCUGGAGGAUCUAUAUGGACUCUUUUUGUGUUUGCGGUAGAUGGGCCACUGUUUAAACAGAGAUCUUAUUUUGACCUUAGCUUCAUUACUUUCAAUUUCUAAAAUUUGUAAAUUCUCUCAGUUGUGACCUGUGAUUGCUUAAGUUAUGAGGUUCUUGUUAGUAGCACUGUUUGCUAUGUUGGUUCCUUAAUUACCACCUGUGACAUUUUUUUGGGGUUGCUUGUUUAGAACGUACGCUGUUUACAAUGGUGUUCAGAGACGCACUUAAGCAACCCAAAGUGAAGGUGGAAGGGGCUGGUGGUGAUUCACCAGUAACUGUUACUUUACAGAAUUGUGUUGCAUCUCAGCUUCCUGCCUACUUGGAGGAAGACUUGGGAUUUUCCCAGAAAAAUUUGCAGUCACUGGCUUCCUUCCUCUUAUCUAGAAAUGUUAAUCCCAAAGAUGUAGGGAAAUGGUUGCUUGAAAGACAGAUGCUUGGUUUUGAGUUGGAGCAGAUAUUGUUAAAGGAAAUGAAAUCUUCAGUCUUGGGAAGAACUGGAGAGAAUCAUGAUGGCCAAGCGUCAGAUGAUAGUUUUUUGCCUGGUCUUCAUGAUGACACGGCAUUAGAUAUCUUUGCUUGGAGCUGCAGAUCAGAUUACCCAAAUCUGGCUUGUGUGAAUAAAAAAUUCAAAGCACUGCUUGGAAGUGGAUAUUUAUAUAGAUUGAGACGGCGGCUUGGGGUUAUGGAACACUGGAUUUAUUUAGCUUGUAUUUUAAUGCCCUGGGAAGCUUUCGAUCCCAUCAGGCAAAGAUGGAUGCGAUUACCUAGGAUGCCAUGUGAUGAAUGUUUUACUUAUGCAGACAAGGAGUCUCUUGCGGUAGGGACUGAACUACUUGUUUUUGGUCGUGAGCUGUCAGGAUUUGCUAUCUGGAUGUACAGCUUACUUUCUCAUGAAUGGUCUAGAUGCCCUCCUAUGAGCUUACCUCGUUGUCUAUUUGGUUCAAGUAGCCUUGGAGAAAUUGCCAUUAUUGCUGGGGGAAGCGACAAGAAUGGACGCAUUCUUAGAUCUGCAGAGCUUUACAAUUCUGAACUAGGUGUGUGGCAGAAUUUACCAGAUAUGAACUUGCCACGUAAGCUGUGUUCGGGCUUAUUUAUGGAUGGGAAAUUUUAUGUCAUUGGGGGUAUGUCAAGCCAAACAGAAUGUUUAAGUUGUGGUGAGGAGUAUAACCUUGAGACAAGAAUAUGGAGGAGGAUAGAGAACAUGUACCCUGUUUCCAGUGUGGGUCAUCCUGCCAUGCGUUCUCCGCCUCUGGUUGCUGUUGUAAAUAAUCAACUUUACUCUGCUGAUCAAGCAACAAAUGAGGUCAAGAAAUAUGACAAGACUAAUAAUUCAUGGAGUGUUGUCAAGCAAUUGCCAGUGAGGGCUGACUCUUCUCAUGGUUGGGGAUUAGCAUUUAAAGCAUGUGGUAGCAGCUUAUUAGUGAUUGGAGGGCAUAGAGGUCCUGAAGGUGAAGUUAUUGUGCUGCAUUCUUGGGAUCCACAAGAUAGAAGUAUGGAUGGGCCAGAAUGGAAUGUUCUUGCUGUCAAGGAGCGAGCAGGUGCUUUUGUAUACAAUUGUGCGGUAAUGGGAUGCUAAUGCUUUGGCACAUACUUGUCUUUGGUGCAAACUUUGACACGUGUUUAAUCAAAUGCUUGAUUGGGGAAGGUGACACUUUUUCUUUCGGUAUAAUUUUUGUUGAAAAGUUUACAAUGUUAACUUGUAAUGUUUUUUCUGCUUUGGUGCUUACUUAUUUUAUGGCAUUUAGAUUAUCAUAAUUGACCUCACAUUGACAUUGAUAAUUCAUAAUGAUUCAAUCCAAGCCCUAUAAUGUUCAUAACUAUAGAUAAGCCUUUGCCUUUUAAGGAUGGUUUUCAUCAGUUCUUGUUGAUUUAACUUCCACUAUAGUAGUAUUAGUAGUAGUAGACAGCUACUUUUCUAGGAAUCAUAUUUUUGUUGUUGUUUUCACACUUUGUUCUCAUACCUUUGCUCUCUGUCCUAUUAUAUGUUUGUGCUUGGAGCUGGAAGCCUAUCUAUACUUUUCAUUGUGGGAAUGGGGAUUAUUUGAAAGCUUCAAAGUGUAGGAUAGCGUAUAACUGAAAGUCUUGCAGAAUUUUGUGUUCAACUGUAUCAACGUACAAUGGCAAAAAAAGCCAGUUGUGUCCCUGUUGUACUCUUUAGAGUUGCUUCAUCUUAACGUGACCCAAAAAAGUAAAAAGAAGAAACGAAAAAGAAGAAAAUUUCAGAUUUUAUUAUUAUGUUUCAUCUCAUGAUGAGUAGAUCCUGAAUAGGAAGUUUUUAUAUUUAAUUGCAUUCUUUUCAUUUUAAUGGUAUACUUGAUGAAAAUAUAAUAACAUUAGUGGCUGAGUUCUUUUUCGCUGGAUAUGAUGUAUUGUCUGGUGAAUUAGAAAACAGUGUUUUCUGUUGGAAAUCCUAAAAACUCUCUUGAGAUGACCUAAAUAUGCUCUUGCUCACUUGUUAGAGGUUUAGGGCCUAGUUGACAAGUGGUGUGAAGGAGCUGACUUUUGAUAUCGUGAUUUCUGUUUAAGCAAAUCAAAGCAUUGCUUGAACUUCUUAUCUGUUAAGGCCACCAGCUUCCUUUCAUUCUGCACUAUUCUUUGAUCAUUUCUUAAGCAUUUGGAGUUAGGAGAAAGGUACGUUGCUUAGUUUGGUGGCAGAAUGAUUCAUGGAAGGACGAAGGGCUGAAGCUGUCAUUGUAAAUAAACCCACCCACAUAUCAUCACUGUCUUGUUAAUCUAUUAUAAGACCAGUCCAUGGAGCAGCUCAUAUACGGUUCAAAUAGUUUGAUGAAGCUUGUACAGAGCUGGAGCAUGAAUCUCAAUCUUUGAAAAAAUUUUAGUGCUUGGAUAGCCCUGGGUGGUUUAAAUUCCAGUGAGAGUAAUUUUUUUAUUUCUGGGGUUGUUGAUUAGAUUUUGUCGGGGACCAUUUUUAGUAGACCAAAUAUCAGACACUCUGACUAGGGGGAACCAGUAGAUGGUAGGGAAAAAGGGCAUUUGUUGCAACCUAAAUUGUCUUCCAUCAAGUAUGGCUGUUAACUUGCAGCAGUACCCCCCAUUCCUUCUGCCAUUUUGACUCGUAUUUGUAGAUCAGAGAAUUAUGAGAAUGGUCCAUGAAUUUUUUGGGUUUUGAUAUUCAUUUUUGAAUAUAUUUUUUUCUCACCCAGAGUGUUUGUUCAUUUGAUAACUCUUUCCUUUUUCAGAGAGAUCAUUGUCCUUCCUAUGGCAGAAUUAUGUUGCAGAGGUUAGCAGAAUCAUCUACAGAAUAUUAGUAAUAGCCGUAUUGGGUCGAGUAUCAAAUGAAACUGAUUGUCAAAUGCUCCAUUACUUUCAAAUAAUGCAUGGGCAUUUCAUUAUUUAUAUUGUCCAUUAAGAUUUGCAUUACCAAUAAGGUCCAAAAAUUCCUUUUAAGGUCUUAAUAUUAUAUACUAGAUUCUGCUAGUUAAGAUAAACACUGCUAAUAUAGUAUAGCAUUUUGGUUCCAAUAGCAAAUUGGUUUUGGCUUCUCAAUUCUUCUCUUCUUAUUUUUCUUCUUCCUUUUGUGAAUGUAGCUAGUGGGGAAAGGGAAAGGGGAAGGGCAUGGCAUGGCAUGACACAAAUCCAAGAUAUAUUUGCACUUUGGCAGCAAGCCAAUGCCACCAGAUUACAAGGCUGGUAGUUUUCUCUUUUCUUUUUUAAUUGUCUAAUUAGCCACUAUGUUGUAGAGUUCUGAAGACCCAUGAGAGUUUUAACAUAAUAUUGUCUAAAGAAUUCCCCUUGUGACUGUUUAAACUGAAAUUGAAUCAAUGAUUGGUCUGGUCCAACUGGGUUUUGUUUUCAAAAUUUUCCUUAAAAACCAUGAAAAAAAAAAUUAAUUUUUAAAAUUUUAUUUGAUGAAUUUAUAAUUGAAUUGAAUUAGUAGGAUGCAUUAACUAGUCUGUAUCCAGCUUUAAGCACUGCUCAACUUAUAUUCCCCAGUUCCAGCUGUAUGAUGAUUUUGAAGCUUUGUCUUCUCUAAUGUUGUAGCCUAUUCAGCCUUACCUACUAAGCUUUU
rnacentral:misc_RNA from 1 species